UAGCGAAGGGGGCUAGCGUUGCUCGGAAUCACUGGGCGUAAAGCGCACGUAGGCGGAUUGUUAAGUCAGGGGUGAAAUCCUGGAGCUCAACUCCAGAACUGCCUUUGAUACUGGCGAUCUCGAGUCCGGGAGAGGUGAGUGGAAUUCCUAGUGUAGAGGUGAAAAUUCGUAGAUAUUAGGAAGAACACCAGUGGCGAAGGCGGCUCACUGGUCCGGUACUGACGCUGAGGUGCGAAAGCGUGGGGAGCAACAGG
rnacentral:rRNA from 1 species